AGAAGAGACGCAUUUAUUAGAUAAAAAGCCAAUGCAUGCUUUUACAGUAUGGAAAUUGGUGAUUUAUAAUAACUUAGCAAAUCGCAAAGUGAAAACAGGCGAUAAAUCAUUCAAGUUUCUGACCUAUCAGCUUUCGACGGUAUGGUAUUGGCUUACCGUGGCAGUGACGGUUAACGGGGGAUUAGGGUUCGAUUCCGGAGAGGGAGCCUGAGAAACGGCUACCACAUCUAAGGAAGGCAGCAGGCGCGCAAAUUACCCAAUUCUAACAGUUUGAGAGAGGUAGUAACAAGAAAUAACAAUACAAGGCAAUUAAAAUGCUUUGUAAUUGGAAUGAUAGAAAUUUAAACCCUUUUUAAAGUAUCAAUUGGAGGGCAAGUCUGGUGCCAGCAGCCGCGGUAAUUCCAGCUCCAAUAGCGUAUAUUAAAAUUGUUGCAGUUAAAAAGCUCGUAGUUGAAGUUCUGCUAAAAGUAACCGGUCUGCUUUUAAUAAAAGUGGUAUCUUGGUGUGUAUUUAGCAAUGAUGUCCUUUGAAGUGUUUUUUACUUUAUUGUAAUAAAGCAUAUUCAGGACUUUUACUUUGAGAAAAUUAGAGUGUUUCUAGCAGGCCGACGCUUUGAAUACUGCAG
rnacentral:rRNA from 1 species